rnacentral:rRNA from 1 species
UACGUAGGGGGCGAGCGUUGUCCGGAAUCAUUGGGCGUAAAGCGCGUGUAGGCGGCCCGGUAAGUCCGCUGUGAAAGUCCAGGGCUCAACCCUGGGAUGCCGGUGGAUACUGUCGGGCUCGAGUCCGGAAGAGGCGAGUGGAAUUCCUGGUGUAGCGGUGAAAUGGCGCAGAUAUCAGGAGGAACACCAAUGGCGAAGGCAGCUCGCUGGGACGUGACUGACGCUGAGACGCGAAAGCGUGGGAGCAAACAGG